rnacentral:rRNA from 1 species
GACGGACGCUGGCGGCGUGCUUAACACAUGCAAGUCGAACGAAGAGCGACGGAAGCUUGCUUCUAUCAAUCUUAGUGGCGAACGGGUGAGUAACGCGUAAUCAACCUGCCCUUCAGAGGGGGACAACAGUUGGAAACGACUGCUAAUACCGCAUACGAUCUAAUCUCGGCAUCGAGGAUGGAUGAAAGGUGGCCUCUACAUGUAAGCUAUCACUGAAGGAGGGGAUUGCGUCUGAUUAGCUAGUUGGAGGGGUAACGGCCCACCAAGGCGAUGAUCAGUAGCCGGUCUGAGAGGAUGAACGGCCACAUUGGGACUGAGACACGGCCCAGACUCCUACGGGAGGCAGCAGUGGGGAAUCUUCCGCAAUGGACGAAAGUCUGACGGAGCAACGCCGCGUGAGUGAUGACGGCCUUCGGGUUGUAAAGCUCUGUUAAUCGGGACGAAAGGCCUUCUUGCGAAUAGUGAGAAGGAUUGACGGUACCGGAAUAGAAAGCCACGGCUAACUACGUG